GUACACAAAAAUGCACAUACUGUGAGCUCGAUGAGUAGGGCGGGACACGUGGUAUCCUGUCUGAAUAUGGGGGGACCAUCCUCCAAGGCUAAAUACUCCUGACUGACCGAUAGUGAACCAGUACCGUGAGGGAAAGGCGAAAAGAACCCCGGCGAGGGGAGUGAAAAAGAACCUGAAACCGUGUACGUACAAGCAGUGGGAGCCUCUUAAUGGGGUGACUGCGUACCUUUUGUAUAAUGGGUCAGCGACUUAUAUUCUGUAGCAAGGUUAACCGAAUAGGGGAGCCGAAGGGAAACCGAGUCUUAACUGGGCGUUAAGUUGCAGGGUAUAGACCCGAAACCCGGUGAUCUAGCCAUGGGCAGGUUGAAGGUUGGGUAACACUAACUGGAGGACCGAACCGACUAAUGUUGAAAAAUUAGCGGAUGACUUGUGGCUGGGGGUGAAAGGCCAAUCAAACCGGGAGAUAGCUGGUUCUCCCCGAAAGCUAUUUAGGUAGCGCCUCGUGAAUUCAUCUCCGGGGGUAGAGCACUGUUUCGGCAAGGGGGUCAUCCCGACUUACCAACCCGAUGCAAACUGCGAAUACCGGAGAAUGUUAUCACGGGAGACACACGGCGGGUGCUAACGUCCGUCGUGAAGAGGGAAACAACCCAGACCGCCAGCUAAGGUCCCAAAGUCAUGGUUAAGUGGGAAACGAUGUGGGAAGGCCCAGACAGCCAGGAUGUUGGCUUAGAAGCAGCCAUCAUUUAAAGAAAGCGUAAUAGCUCACUGGUCGAGUCGGCCUGCGCGGAAGAUGUAACGGGGCUAAACCAUGCACCGAAGCUGCGGCAGCGACACUAUGUGUUGUUGGGUAGGGGAGCGUUCUGUAAGCCUGUGAAGGUGUACUGUGAGGUAUGCUGGAGGUAUCAGAAGUGCGAAUGCUGACAUAAGUAACGAUAAAGCGGGUGAAAAGCCCGCUCGCCGGAAGACCAAGGGUUCCUGUCCAACGUUAAUCGGGGCAGGGUGAGUCGACCCCUAAGGCGAGGCCGAAAGGCGUAGUCGAUGGGAAACAGGUUAAUAUUCCUGUACUU
rnacentral:rRNA from 1 species